GUCCACUGCUGUAAAAGAUUGUCGUAUAAUGUAAAUGAAAUUUAUUAAAAUUAGGGCUGUCAUUCAAACCAACCAAUAAUUUUUAGUAUAUUUAAAUAUUAAUAUUUGCUAAAUAAAGUCACAUACUGAAUAUAAAUUAUGAAAAUCGCGUGAAAAUGCAACGCUACUUCAAACUUGAAUUGUAGUAACACAUAUCAAGGUGAACUCACCUGGCCUGAACAUCAUCAAUGACGCCUUUGUAGUGCUCUAUCUCAGCGAUGAUGGCCUCUUUUGUAGCUGUGAGGCUGUCAAUUUGGGAUUUAUACGUUCCGAUGGCAGAUGUGAGAAGAAUUGAAGAGCUGGCAGGUCCGCCCUGCUCUGGGUUAGUAAACAUUGAAAUCUUGGCUCUGAGUACUGCAUUGUGCUGCUCGAGUGAGCGGGCCUGUGGAUGAAACUCAGGGUCAGAGACACCUACUAGAGAAACUUAUAUUCAGAUCAGAUGUUAUCACGACCAGCUUUAUCACCACAAUUGAAAUUGAAAGUGUGGUCAGCCCACCUUGUCAAUGAAGCUGGCAAAUUUGUCAUUGAGGACCUGCAGUUCCUCCUUCUCCUUCAAGCGUGUGACCUGCACUGUGUCUGGGGAAGGAAGCGAUGGGUCGAUGCUGGGCACUGGACCGACACCUGCAUCCACUGUGGUGGUGGAGCUGAUGAAGGAUGGGUUAAAACCGUAGCCUCCGACUUUGAAGACUCUGCCCCCAAGACGAGCUCUCAACGGGGCCACGCCAGCCCUAAACCCUGCUGCCCUGGCUCCUGCAGCGCCCAGGCCUAAGCCUCCACCUAAAGCGAGAGCACCUCCGCCUGCACCAGCUCCCAUACCCAGGCCUCCCCCAUAGCCGCCGCCAAAGCCGCCCCCAAGGCCUCCUCCCAAGCCAAGGCCACCUCCUGCUCCCCUUGACAAGCCAAGUGAGCGGGACAGAGACACGCUAACACCCCCGCCGCUUCUGGCUCCGGAGAACAGACGGUUGCCUCCAUAGGUGGCUCCAUAUCUGACAGCUCCCCCACUGACGCGUACGUCUGACAUAUCUGCACUCAGAGCUGGGGUCCAGGUCUUUACUUAGGAGUCCUGGUGCUCGGUCAGACUGGCAGACUGUACAUUUGUCUUUAAAUACACAGGUGUUUGAAGGGCUGGCCAAGGCAGGUCGCUGGUGAUUUGCUAUAGCCGCUGCCAGUUAAAGUCAUACGCCCAGGCUGAAAGACAGGCAAGCGUCUCCCCUCCGGGCACAGAUUUCUCCAAAACAUGUUAGAGGUAAUUUAACAGCUUUGGUAUGUGGAAUUAAGAGGAAACAAACCCUACAGCUACUGCCCAUACUUAAAAAAAAGAGUCUGCUUGGAUUGACAGCCUGAAAGCUUCUUGAUAUUCGUGUAUAGUCUUAUUCUUGAUGCGCAUGGGAGCUAAACUGUGAAUUUCAUGUAACUGAGCUGACAGGCUUGUUGGAGAAGCCUGUCAUAAAUCAAGAUGCCUAUACGAGUGAGAGGCAGGUGAAGGUUUUUUUUCUAGCCCAAAGGAUAAAUCGCAGGUGCAGAAAAGGUGCUGAGAAGUAUGCAACGUGCUGCAACAAAGUCCAGUGUAUAGCUGGGUCAGGUAAUAAGUUGACUGUUAUUUAAGCACUCGAAACCUACAUGUCUUAGUUACGGUAAUCUAGUCCUCUCCUAAAAUGAACUCACAAGCAGAUACAAUGGCAGGAAGCCCUUUUAAAAGCCUAAAUGAAAUUUGCUCGGGUUAGCCAUCCAGAGGGCUGCGAUCAGCAUUGUUAUUUCCUCGACAAUUCUGUCUCUGGAGAGUUACUGCCUCUACCUGAUCCUCAUACACCAUCAAGGAUACGCAAUAUAAAUGUGUCUCUGGGGAUAUUCGGAUGUUUAAUGAGCAACCCUGGCAUGCUGAGAUAAAAACGUGUUACAUUUUUUAAGGGGACAUUUCACAAGACCUUUUUUAGGAUGUACAAUAAAUAUUUGGUGUACCCAGA